UACGUAGGGUGCAAGCGUUGUCCGGAAUUAUUGGGCGUAAAGAGCUCGUAGGCGGUCUGUCGCGUCGGAUGUGAAAAUCAAGGGCUCAACCCCUGGACCUGCAUUCGAUACGGGCAGACUAGAGUUCGGCAGGGGGAGACUGGAAUUCCUGGUGUAGCGGUGAAAUGCGCAGAUAUCAGGAGGAACACCGGUGGCGAAGGCGGGUCUCUGGGCCGAUACUGACGCUGAGAAGCGAAAGCAUGGGGAGCGAACAGG
rnacentral:rRNA from 1 species